AUGUCGCACUGCCUGCCGGGAAGUGCCAUGGUCCACUUCCAAGCCCUGGAAGUCCAGCAGCUGCUACACAACAAGUUCGUGGUCAUUUUGGGGGACUCCAUCUAAAGAGCGGUAUAUAAGGACCUGGUACUUCUGCUGCAGAAGGACACACUGCUCACAGCUUCCCAGUUAAAGCCAAGAUGAAAGAAGCUUGGCAGCCAUGCCAGUUACCUAGACGAUGUCUUGGAGGAGUUGUGAUAUGGACCUGCCCCUGACCUAGUGAUCGUCAACUCUUGACUCUGGGAUCUCUCCAGAUAUGGCCGCUGCUCAAUAGAGAGCUUCCGGGAGAACUUGGAACGAGUGUUUGUACGAAUGGACCAGGUUUUGCUAGACUCUUGUGUGCUGGUGUGGAACUUGGCAAUGCCUUUUGUGGAAACGUGUCACUGGGGGUUUCUUCCUGCCAGGCUCCAGCACUUCGCUGUCUCUUCUACAAAGCUACACUAGCCGGGAACUACUGUUUCCAUGUCCCAGAUCUCCAAUUCCGUUUCCAGCAUUGUUGUACAUCACCGUCAUCGAGAUGGUGUCCAUUGGGACCAGCAUGCAUGCUGCCACCUCUCAUACUUCUGACCCGCGUACCCAAACAUGGAGCUACCCAGACAUGGCCGUCUCCCAGACCUGUGGCUUGAGGAUUGGCCAGAGAUGGAUCAUUCAUUCCAGGGAAGCCAUUAAACAGCCCCCAGACUUCAGAGAGCAGCUGGCCUUGCCCUUGCUCCCAUCUUUCCAUUUGCCUUCCCUCAUGUCUUUUCCUUACCCACUGUAGCCCUCACCACCUCCCAUGUUCCCACCUCUGCCCCGGAAUAUCCCCUUUUAUCAAGGCCAGCCCUUUCGACCCUGUGAAAUCAAAUACAAUGCAACGGAGGGCUUCUCAAUGCCAGGAUGUGGCCCUAGAAUGGACUUUGUGCCUGGCCUCCUGCCACCAUCAGUCUCUGGCCCUGUCUCCCAGGCUCAACACCGGGGAACAGUGGUCCACCGAAGCAAACCAUGUUGUGUUCUAAACAACCCCUAUCAUGUACCAAGGAUCGGGGACCCAUGCAGGCAUCGACUCAGUCAUUCAGACAGAUUGAGCCACACAUAUAAACAGGACAGAGGGGGGCAUGCACAUUCGGGAACACGGCCUGGGUAG